rnacentral:rRNA from 1 species
GUGCCAGCAGCCGCGGUAAUACGAAGGGUGCAAGCGUUACUCGGAAUUACUGGGCGUAAAGCGUGCGUAGGUGGUGGUUUAAGUCUGCUGUGAAAGCCCUGGGCUCAACCUGGGAAUUGCAGUGGAUACUGGGUCACUAGAGUGUGGUAGAGGGAUGCGGAAUUUCCGGUGUAGCAGUGAAAUGCGUAGAGAUCGGAAGGAACAUCCGUGGCGAAGGCGGCAUCCUGGGCCAACACUGACACUGAGGCACGAAAGCGUGGGGAGCAAACAGGAUUAGAUACCCUGGUAGUCCACGCCCUAAACGAUGCGAACUGGAUGUUGGGUGCAACUUGG